rnacentral:misc_RNA from 1 species
GAUGAAGAACGCAGCGAAAUGCGAUACGUAAUGUGAAUUGCAGAAUUCAGUGAAUCAUCGAAUCUUUGAACGCAUAUUGCGCUCUCUGGUAUUCCGGAGAGCAUGCUUGUUUGAGUAUCAGUAAACACCUCAAGUUCCAUAUCUUUUUUGAAAUGGGAGUUGGACUUGAGUGAUCCCAACGCUUUUCCUCACCGAAAAGUGGCGGGUUACUUGAAAUGCAGGUGCAGCUGGACUUUUCUCUGAGCUAUAAGCAUAUCUAUUUAGUCUGCCUAAAAAACAGAUUAUUACCUUUGCUGCAGCUAACAUAAAGGAGAUUAGUUCUUGUGCUGACUGAUGCAGGAUUCACAAAGACGGCUUCGGCCGACUUUGUAAACUCGAUCUCAAAUCAAGUAAGACUACCCGCUGAACUUAAGCAUAUCAAUAAGCGGAGGA